UACGAAGGGGGCUAGCGUUGCUCGGAAUGACUGGGCGUAAAGGGCGCGUAGGCGGCUUGUAUAGUCGGAUGUGAAAUUCCUGGGCUUAACCUGGGGGCUGCAUACGAGACGUAUGGGCUUGAGUGCGGAAGAGGGUCGUGGAAUUCCCAGUGUAGAGGUGAAAUUCGUAGAUAUUGGGAAGAACACCGGUGGCGAAGGCGGCGACCUGGUCCGUGACUGACGCUGAGGCGCCGAAAGCGUGGGGAGCAAACAGG
rnacentral:rRNA from 1 species